rnacentral:rRNA from 1 species
CGGACGGGUGAGUAAUGUCUGGGAAACUGCCUGAUGGAGGGGGAUAACUACUGGAAACGGUAGCUAAUACCGCAUAACGUCGCAAGACCAAAGAGGGGACCUUCGGGCCUCUUGCCAUCGGAUGUGCCCAGAUGGGAUUAGCUGGUAGGUGGGGUAACGGCUCACCUAGGCGACGAUCCCUAGCUGGUCUGAGAGGAUGACCAGCCACACUGGAACUGAGACACGGUCCAG